rnacentral:tRNA from 1 species
GAGGGAAGAGCUCAGUGGUAGAGCACGUGUUUAGCGUACACGAGGUCCUGGGUUUAAUCCCCAGUACCUCCG